GAACUGCGAUAAGUAAUGUGAAUUGCAGAAUUCAGUGAAUCAUCGAGUCUCUGAACGCACAUUGCGCCCCCUGGCAUUCCGGGGGGCAUGCCUGUCCGAGCGUCAUUGCUGCCCUUCAAGCCCGGCUUGUGUGUUGGGUCGUCGUCCCCUCCGGGGGACGGGCCCGAAAGGCAGCGGCGGCACCGCGUCCGGUCCUCGAGCGUAUGGGGCUUUGUCACCCGCUCGAUAAGGACCGGCCGGGCGCCAGCCGGCGUCUCCAACCUUUUUUUCUCAGGUUGACCUCGGAUCAGGUAGGGAUACCCGCUGAACUUAAGC
rnacentral:misc_RNA from 1 species